rnacentral:snRNA from 1 species
CAGAGGAAUGAGUUGAAUAGUAU